GAGUUUGAUCCUGGCUCAGAUUGAACGCUGGCGGCAGGCCUAACACAUGCAAGUCGAGCGGUAGAGAGAAGCUUGCUUCUCUUGAGAGCGGCGGACGGGUGAGUAAUGCCUAGGAAUCUGCCUGGUAGUGGGGGAUAACGCUCGGAAACGGACGCUAAUACCGCAUACGUCCUACGGGAGAAAGCAGGGGACCUUCGGGCCUUGCGCUAUCAGAUGAGCCUAGGUCGGAUUAGCUAGUUGGUGAGGUAAUGGCUCACCAAGGCGACGAUCCGUAACUGGUCUGAGAGGAUGAUCAGUCACACUGGAACUGAG
rnacentral:rRNA from 1 species